UUCUGUGAUGAUUUAUAUCACGACGGUCAACAUAACCACAAGUUGGCAUUGAUGAUACUGCCUAUGACAAGGCGCUAUAAUCUGAUU
rnacentral:snoRNA from 1 species